GCCCUGCUCGGUUGUGCUGGGAUGGCUGAACUUUGGCAGUGUUGUCAAUUGGUUUGUCAUUAUCCUGUUAAAAGGGAGAAAAAAAAUCAAGGUCAUGUAUUUAUCAUACAGCCCCGAAGUGGUUGUUAGAUGAUACACAGAUGUCUGAACACCAGCUGUUCACCUGAUUCCUCAUGUGUUUGUGCCCUCUCCAGACAGUCUGAGGGAUAAAUUCCACACUGCGGAUUCAGUAAAUGUACUAGUCGAGGGAAUGUCUUCAAGGAUUUGCUAAAAGAGGAGCUGUAGAAGACAUUUCUGGCUUGCCGCAUGAGAACCCUGCAGGACCUUGCUUGUUUUGGUCAAACUUCAGCAGAGUGAACCAGCCUUUGUUGGGCAGAUUUGUUUGUUUGGGGUGAGCUGUGCCAUUGCCUCUGCAGAAAGCAGGAUAAAUGGUUUAUGAAGCCAGUGGCCUCAUACAAUGACAAGUGUUUGAUCCCAAGGAGUCUUAUUUUGGCAGUGGCUGCUCUGUGAUGUGACACUAGUCCAGUUCCAUAGCCUGUACAGCAAGAGAAAGGGUGUGUGGAUGUGCUGUCUGUACACCGAGAGGCUGUAGUGCUGUCAGUAUUCACUUUCCAAAAAGUAGAUGAGCCACAAAUUCCAAGCUUCAUCCUCAGAAACACUAGAAGUAGUUGAGGAAAUCUCUUCAGAUGCUGAUAAUGCUGAGGAAGGAUCAGAGAAUACAAGGAGAAAACCAAUAGCCAUAAAGGACAGUAUUCACAGAAGGCCACGAUGAAAUGAGAUGGAGAAAACAAUUGGAUCUUUAGGUCUGAUGUUUUUAAAAUGUUUCCUGAAAAGAUUAUUGGUUCCAUACAAAACCUAGACAAGCAAGUCUGUCUGUCUCAUCUUUAUUGUCGGUUGUUUUUCCCUGACACUCUUAGCAUGUACCUACCUGUUCCAGCUUUUCAUCAUUCUGCACUGCCUACCAUUUUUGGAAGUUGUGCUUGAUUAAUGAUUGAUCACAAAAUCACAGAACUGAUAACCAAAGGUUGAGAAGAGCCCAUUGCCAGCAUGUCUCCAUUAAUAACUAAAGAAAUAUAUUGGACUCAAUGUAUCCUUCUUGUAUUAGAACACAUUUACCCCAAAUGACAGUUCAUAGGCCUUCUGCAUGCAAACUUUCCAGACACCCCGCAGUGAAAAUCCAUUUUGUUGUGAUCUGUGCAAGUGGAACAGCUCUCAAGAAAAAUCUGCAGCUAGCACAGGUGCUGGUGAGUCAAGACCAAACAACAUGUGCAGCACAGAAGAAAAGCAUGCAAGUUUAUUGGAGCUUGUUUGCAUCAUGGCUGGUGUUGGCUCUAGUGCCACCUCGUGGGUUGGGUGUUUUUAAACUGAAACACGGAGCAUUGAGCAUCUGUUGCUGGACCUGGUUGGCAGUCACAGGUGUUCAGUAACACAGAACAGUUUUGUUUUCCAACACUUCUCUCCAUAUCAAGCAAGCUUUGGCUGCUCACAUAAAUACCAGGUUUGAAUAUGAUUUGGUGUUUCUCCUUAGGCUGAAAAUACAGAAUCAUACGUCUUGCUGUGAUUAUAAGGAGCAUUUUUGAGUUCCCAUAGCUUUGUGCUGACUAGUU